AGCAGGAAUAUACAUUUUAUUCAAUACCAGAGGUCGUUUGCAGAUCCAUUCUUAAUUAUGCAAAAACUCUUAUAACACAGGGAGAAGAACAUAUCUUAUGAAAGGGGAAGGGAAAAAGAAAGAGCUGACCAAGUCGUGUAUCUCGCAGUCACAGAAAUAAUUUGGUUAUCCCUUUGGGACACACCCAAGUGAAAAUAUCCUGGCUGUUAAAGAAAAAAAAAUGCAAAUUAUACAUAUGUAUUUGUGGAGUCCCAGAUGUGACUAUCAUUAAUAA